rnacentral:rRNA from 1 species
GAUGAACGCUGGCGGCGUGCCUAAUACAUGCAAGUCGAGCGAACAGAUAAGGAGCUUGCUCCUUUGACGUUAGCGGCGGACGGGUGAGUAACACGUGGGUAACCUACCUAUAAGACUGGGAUAACUUCGGGAAACCGGAGCUAAUACCGGAUAAUAUUUUGAACCGCAUGGUUCAAUAGUGAAAGAUGGUUUUGCUGUCACUUAUAGAUGGAUCCGCGCCGUAUUAGCUAGUUGGUAAGGUAACGGCUUACCAAGGCGACGAUGCGUAGCCGACCUGAGAGGGGGAUCGGCCAAACUGGAACUGAGACACGGUCCAGAAUCCUACGGGAGGCAGCAGUAGGGAAUCUUCCGCAAUGGGCGAAAGCCUGACGGAGCAACGCCGCGUGAGUGAUGAAGGUCUUCGGAUCGUAAAACUCUGUUAUUAGGGAAGAACAUACGUGUAAGUAACUGUGCACGUCUUGACGGUACCUAAUCAGAAAGCCACGGCUAACUACGUG